rnacentral:lncRNA from 1 species
UUUUUUUUUUUUUUAAAGCAAGAGGAGAGGGCAGUUCCUGUUACGACACAGCAGAAAUGCAUCUGACCAGUAUCCAUUAGGACGCAGGUUCAAUCCCUGGCCUUACUCAGUGGGUUAAGGAUCCGACGUUGCGUGAGUUGUGGUGUAGGUCACAGACUCGGCUCAGAUCUCACGUUCCUGUGGCUGUGGUAUAGGCUGGCAGCUAUAACUCCGAUAUAACCUCUAGCCUAAAAAAGCAAGGGAAACAAAAAAAAAGCAGGAGGAGAAAGGGAUAAGGAAAAAAAGCCGAUUGAGAGGAAAAGUACAUACUAUACUGCAUCACCUCAGAGACAUCCCUCCCUCAUUAUCUUGCACUAAAGGAAAAAGGGAUGUCCAGGACAAAUGAAGUAAUGAAUGAUCUCAAUUUUAAUCCUGCUCACUUUUGUAACAUUAAGUAACCUGAAUUCACUGACUAAAACGAGGUCUAGAAGAUUGUUCACACCGCUAAUUCCACGAGUAUUUGAGAUUUCAUUUUAUUUUAGGCAGUCUCCUUAUUUCAAGACACUAGCGCAAGCCUAGAAAUAUCUCACAACGAGUACUCUCUUUAGAAAGUUGCAAGUCAUAGUCUCUACAGAGCUCAUGUAGUACCUCACUCUGAGCUACUUACAGGUGUACAGCUGAAUUUCAAAGCUUCUAGUAGGUUACCUGUUUAGUAGGUUUGAAACGAAUGCUUCAGCAAAAUAGACAUAGACAUGUAUACUGUUUUCAAUCUAAUAACUCAACAAAACAGCAGUGAAUUAAUUUACAACAUUAAUGUCAUUUUCUGAUAUUCAGACGGAUAACUUUAUAAAUGCAUUCUUUUUUUUUCUUUUUUUUUUUUUUUUUUUUUUUUUUUUGUCUUUUCUAGGGCCGCACCUGCGGCAUAUGAAGGUUCCCAGAAAUAGCAACAACAACAACAACAAAAGACCAAAUUUUUAAUGGUAUCCUUCGUCAAAUAUCCCUAAAACCAUUGUGCAGGUUGGCCAAAGCCAAAAUACAUCCUAAGCCUCAUUAGUACAAAUAUGCAAUGCACACAGAUAAUCCCCAGAAUAAGUCUUCAAAUAGAAAAUUACUAUACUAAGAAUAAACGAUAGCAAAACUCUUAGAAAAUUCAGAUCUGUGGCCUACUCCAUCCUCCUCCCAACGCUGACAUAACCAAUUGAAAAGAGUUCAAAGAGAUUAAGUACUUUCUAAAGGCAAUUCCAGCAUGUCCUUAUGAAAAACUUGUCACUGUUGCCAGAAGGAUACACUUGUUUUGACACUUAACAGAGUUCCUCAGUUGGAACAUGUUCAAAAUGGAACAGAAAGUUUCAGAUUAAGCCACUAUUUCUACUCUUAAAACAAAGGAAUAAUAUCCAGAAAACAGAACUCAUGUGCUGAUAAGAUUCAAUCAAUUCAAUCAUAUACAUCUUAUGUUAUACAUAAAUUAUUUUUAGGAAAUAUUUUAAUUAUCCAGUAUGAAAAUUUUUUAAAAAUUAAGACUAAGUUCAAAAAAUACUGUGCAUUUUUUUUUUUUUUUUUUUACUAUGCUUCCUCUAUUUUGAUCUUUAGCUUAGUCUAUUUGAGCUCUGUUUAACCAAGAUUUGGUGCCUGGAAACCACUUAAUAUAACUUUAUUAAAUCUGCUAAGCCAUGAUAUUCUGAGUUCAGCUUAGGCUUCCAUAUGCUCAAUCAUCCAUUUUGAGUUUGGUAUGGUUCUCUUCAGGGCUAAUCUUUCUUCCUGUACAAAAACCUCUCAUCAGAGCAAAAACUCUUCUCAAAGCAGUUGAUCAUUUCCUAACGGACUGGCCUUCCCAGUUUCAUGUAAUUAACAAUCUUAGAGUCUUUGCAUGAAUGGGUGACUCAUUAACGAUUUUUUUUUUAAAGAAUCAAGCUCUUGAACCACAACAAGUAUUAGUUACAUAGUAUCAUAUACUUUUUUACAAAACCACCCAAUUCAAACAUAUACAAGUAAACUUAUAUAUAACACUUUCAGGACAAUGUAC